rnacentral:rRNA from 1 species
AGAGUUUGAUCAUGGCUCAGAGUGAACGCUGGCGGUAGGCCUAACACAUGCAAGUCGAACGGCAGCACAGGAGAGCUUGCUCUCUGGGUGGCGAGUGGCGGACGGGUGAGGAAUACAUCGGAAUCUACUCUGUCGUGGGGGAUAACGUAGGGAAACUUACGCUAAUACCGCAUACGACCUACGGGUGAAAGUGGGGGACCGCAAGGCCUCACGCGAUAGAAUGAGCCGAUGUCGGAUUAGCUAGUUGGCGGGGUAAAGGCCCACCAAGGCGACGAUCCGUAGCUGGUCUGAGAGGAUGAUCAGCCACACUGGAACUGAGACACGGUCCAGACUCCUACGGGAGGCAGCAGUGGGGAAUAUUGGACAAUGGGCGCAAGCCUGAUCCAGCCAUACCGCGUGAGUGAAGAAGGCCCUCGGGUUGUAAAGCUCUUUUGUUGGGAAAGAAAUCCUGUUGGCUAAUACCCGGCAGGGAUGACGGUACCCAAAGAAUAAGCACCGGCUAACUUCGUGCCAGCAGCCGCGGUAAUACGAAGGGUGCAAGCGUUACUCGGAAUUACUGGGCGUAAAGCGUGCGUAGGUGGAGGUUUAAGUCUGUUGUGAAAGCCCUGGGCUCAACCUGGGAAUUGCAGUGGAUACUGGAUCACUAGAGUGUGGUAGAGGGUGGCGGAAUUCCCGGUGUAGCAGUGAAAUGCGUAGAGAUCGGGAGGAACAUCCGUGGC